CGCUGGCGGCAGGCCUAACACAUGCAAGUCGAGCGGUAGAGAGAAGCUUGCUUCUCUUGAGAGCGGCGGACGGGUGAGUAAUACCUAGGAAUCUGCCUGAUAGUGGGGGAUAACGUUCGGAAACGGACGCUAAUACCGCAUACGUCCUACGGGAGAAAGCAGGGGACCUUCGGGCCUUGCGCUAUCAGAUGAGCCUAGGUCGGAUUAGCUAGUUGGUGAGGUAAUGGCUCACCAAGGCUACGAUCCGUAACUGGUCUGAGAGGAUGAUCAGUCACACUGGAACUGAGACACGGUCCAGACUCCUACGGGAGGCAGCAGUGGGGAAUAUUGGACAAUGGGCGAAAGCCUGAUCCAGCCAUGCCGCGUGUGUGAAGAAGGUCUUCGGAUUGUAAAGCACUUUAAGUUGGGAGGAAGGGCAGUUACCUAAUACGUGAUUGUCUUGACGUUACCGACAGAAUAAGCACCGGCUAACUCUGUGCCAGCAGCCGCGGUAAUACAGAGGGUGCAAGCGUUAAUCGGAAUUACUGGGCGUAAAGCGCGCGUAGGUGGUUUGUUAAGUUGAAUGUGAAAUCCCCGGGCUCAACCUGGGAACUGCAUCCAAAACUGGCAAGCUAGAGUAUGGUAGAGGGUAGUGGAAUUUCCUGUGUAGCGGUGAAAUGCGUAGAUAUAGGAAGGAACACCAGUGGCGAAGGCGACUACCUGGACUGAUACUGACACUGAGGUGCGAAAGCGUGGGGAGCAAACAGGAUUAGAUACCCUGGUAGUCC
rnacentral:rRNA from 1 species